GGCGGUGUAGCAGAAUUGGAAUAUGCUGCGGGUUAAGAACCCGUAUAAAUUGUGGGUUCGAAUCCCAUCAUCGGCACCA
rnacentral:tRNA from 1 species